AACGAACGCUGGCGGCAUGCCUAACACAUGCAAGUCGAACGAGACCUUCGGGUCUAGUGGCGCACGGGUGCGUAACGCGUGGGAACCUGCCCUUAGGUUCGGAAUAACUCCCCGAAAGGGGUGCUAAUACCGGAUAAUGUCUUCGGACCAAAGAUUUAUCGCCUUUGGAUGGGCCCGCGUUGGAUUAGCUAGUUGGUAGGGUAAAAGCCUACCAAGGCGACGAUCCAUAGCUGGUCUGAGAGGAUGAUCAGCCACACUGGGACUGAGACACGGCCCAGACUCCUACGGGAGGAAGCAGGGGGGAAGAUUGGACAAUGGGCGAAAGCCUGAUCCAGCAAUGCCGCGUGAGUGAUGAAGGACUUAGGGUUGUAAAGCUCUUUUACCCGGGAUGAUAAUGACAGUACCGGGAGAAUAAGCACCGGCUAACUCCGU
rnacentral:rRNA from 1 species